rnacentral:sRNA from 1 species
GGAACACUUUUCAUAGAUUCUGGUGCUGUGGCAGCAUCUUAGGGUCGUAGUCUUCGCUGUGAAAUGGUAGCCAACAGACAAGACGUCCUGCGAGUUUUAGGUGCUUCGCAGCGAACACAAGUAGGUCCCCAUAGAGACUCUGCAAGGAAUAGUGGGACGUUGAUGGCUUAAAUAACCAAAGAAACUGGUCAGAUGAAAACAUAAAGGAGGUAAAAAUCAAUAAACUUACGAUCUGUAAUUAUGCUA